UAGGGAAUCUUCCACAAUGGACGAAAGUCUGAUGGAGCAACGCCGCGUGAGUGAAGAAGGGUUUCGGCUCGUAAAACUCUGUUGUUAAAGAAGAACAUAUCUGAGAGUAACUGUUCAGGUAUUGACGGUACUUAACCAGAAAGCCACGGCUAACUACGUGCCAC
rnacentral:rRNA from 1 species